rnacentral:snRNA from 1 species
AGCUUUGUGCAGUGGCAGUAUCUUAGCCAGUGAUGUUCAUCUGAGGUGUGAGAAUUGCUGAUUGAGAACUAUUUGCUCUCUUUGGUAUCAAAUUUCUCCUGCAUAUGCAG